AGCAACAUGGCGCAGCGGAAGCGUGAGUAAUUCGCAAGUCACAAGUCAAUCAUUUGUUCGUGAAAACUAACAUUCAAUCAGGCGCCGGGCUCAUAACCCGGAGGACCCUGGAUCGAAACCAGGUGUUGCUA
rnacentral:tRNA from 1 species